rnacentral:rRNA from 1 species
GAUGAACGCUGGCGGCGUGCCUAAUACAUGCAAGUCGAGCGAACGGACGAGAAGCUUGCUUCUCUGAUGUUAGCGGCGGACGGGUGAGUAACACGUGGAUAACCUACCUAUAAGACUGGGAUAACUUCGGGAAACCGGCGCUAAUCCCGGAUAAUAUUUUGAACCGCAUUGUUCAAAAGUGAAAGACGGUCUUGCUGUCACUUAUAGCUUGAUCCGCGCUGCAUUAGCUAGUUGGUAAGGUAACGGCUUACCAAGGCAACGAUGCAUAGCCGAACUGAGAGAGUGAUCGGCCACACUGGAACUGAGACACGGUCCAGACGCCUAAGGGAGGCAGCAGUAGGGAAUCUGCCGCAAUGGGCGAGAGCAUGACGGAGCAACGCCGCGUGAGUGAUGAAGGUCUUCGGAUCGUAAAACUCUGUUAUUAGGGAAGAACAUAUGUGUAAGUAACUGUGCACAUCUUGACGGUACCUAAACAGAAAGCCACGGCUAACUACGUG